AGAGUUUGAUCCUGGCUCAGAGCGAACGCUGGCGGCAGGCUUAACACAUGCAAGUCGAGCGGGCGUAGCAAUACGUCAGCGGCAGACGGGUGAGUAACGCGUGGGAACGUACCUUUUGGUUCGGAACAACACAGGGAAACUUGUGCUAAUACCGGAUAAGCCCUUACGGGGAAAGAUUUAUCGCCGAAAGAUCGGCCCGCGUCUGAUUAGCUAGUUGGUGAGGUAACGGCUCACCAAGGCGACGAUCAGUAGCUGGUCUGAGAGGAUGAUCAGCCACAUUGGGACUGAGACACGGCCCAAACUCCUACGGGAGGCAGCAGUGGGGAAUAUUGGACAAUGGGCGCAAGCCUGAUCCAGCCAUGCCGCGUGAGUGAUGAAGGCCCUAGGGUUGUAAAGCUCUUUUGUGCGGGAAGAUAAUGACGGUACCGCAAGAAUAAGCC
rnacentral:rRNA from 1 species